rnacentral:rRNA from 1 species
CGCGGCCUAUCAGCUUGUUGGUGAGGUAACGGCUCACCAAGGCAGCGACGGGUAGCUGGUCUGAGAGGACGAUCAGCCACACUGGGACUGAGACACGGCCCAGACUCCUACGGGAGGCAGCAGCAGGGAAUAUUGCACAAUGGGCGAAAGCCUGAUGCAGCGACGCCGCGUGAGGGAUGAAGGCCCUCGGGUUGUAACCCUCUUUCAGGAGGGACGAAGCGAAAGUGACGGUACCUCCAGAAGAAGCCCCGGCCAACUACGUGCCAGCAGCCGCGGUAAUACGUAGGGGGCGAACGUUGUCCGGAUUUAUUGGGCGUAAAGAGCUCGUAGGCGGCUCAGCAAGUCGGCCGUGAAAGCCUGAGGCUCAACCUCAGGAGGCCGGUCGAAACUGCUGUGGCUAGGGUCCGGUAGAGGAGAGUGGAAUUCCCGGUGUAGCGGUGAAAUGCGCAGAUAUCGGGAGGAACACCAGUAGCGAAGGCGGCUCUCUGGGCCGGUACCGACGCUGAGGAGCGAAAGCUAGGGGAGCAAACAGGAUUAGAUACCCUGGUAGUCCUAGCCGUAAACGUUGGGCACUAGGUGUGGCGGAUUCAUUGACAUCUGCCGUGCCGAAGCUAACGCAUUAAGUGCCCCGCCUGGGGAGUACGG